UACGGAGGGAGCUAGCGUUGUUCGGAAUUACUGGGCGUAAAGCGCACGUAGGCGGCUAUUCAAGUCAGAGGUGAAAGCCCGGGGCUCAACCCCGGAACUGCCUUUGAAACUAGAUAGCUAGAAUCUUGGAGAGGUCAGUGGAAUUCCGAGUGUAGAGGUGAAAUUCGUAGAUAUUCGGAAGAACACCAGUGGCGAAGGCGACUGACUGGACAAGUAUUGACGCUGAGGUGCGAAAGCGUGGGAGCAACAGGG
rnacentral:rRNA from 1 species